rnacentral:rRNA from 1 species
AUGAUUGAACACUUGAGUGAUUAUAUGUCUAGAGUUAAAGGUGACCUUAAACUUAUUAGUAAACAUGCUUCUAUGGUCACCACUCAGGUAGAACAAGUGCUUAAAGCUCAAGAUGAUUUGCUCAAUGAAUUAAAUAAUAAGAAAAAUGAUAAUGUUGUUAGAGUUAUGACUAGAGGGGGUAAAAUGACUCAGGAACCUUUGUAUCCUGAAGGCCACCCUAAGAGAGUUGAGCAAGAUUCUCAGAGAACUAAUGUUGAUGCACCUAGUCCUUCUAAGAAGAAGAAAAACAAAAACGAUAGGACUUUGCAUGCUUCUAGUGAACCUGUUGUUGACACACCUGAGAAUCCCAAUGAUAUUUCUAUUUCUGAUGCUGAAACACAAUCUGGUAAUGAACAUGAACCUAGUGAUAAUGUUAAUGAUGAUGUUCAUGUCGAUGCUCAAUCUAGCAAUAACAAUGAUGUAGAGAUUGAACCUGUUGUUGAUCUUGAUAACCCACAAUCAAAGAAUCAAUGUUAUGAUAAGAGAGACUUUGUUGCUAGGAAGCACGGUAAAGAAAGAGAACCAUGGGUUCAGAAACCCAUGCCUUUUCCUCCUAAACCAUCCAAGAAAAAGGAUGAUGGGGAUUUUGAGUGCUUUGCUGAAAUGAUUAGACCUAUCUUUUUGCGUAUGCAUUUGACUGAUAUGCUUAAAAUGAAUCCUUAUGCUAAGUAUAUGAAAGAUAUUGUUACGAAUAAAAGAAAGAUACCGGAAGCUGAAAUUUCCACCAUGCUUGCCAAUUAUACUUUUCAAGGUGGAAUACAAAAGAAACUUGGAGAUCUAGGAGUACCAACUAUACCAUGCUCCAUUAAAAAAAACUAUGUUAAAACUGCUUUAUGUGAUCUUGGAGCCGGUGUUAGUGUUAUGCCUCUCUCUUUAUAUCAUAGACUUGAUUUGAAUAAGUUGACACCUACUGAAAUAUCUUUGUAA